UUUUUUUUUUUUUUUUUUUUUUUUUUUUUGUCUUUUGUCUUUUUAGGGCCACAUCCGUGGCAUAUGGAGGUUCCCAGGCUAAGGGUCUAAUCAGAGCUGUAGCUGCCAGCUUACACCACAGCCACAGCAAUGCCAGAUUCUUAACCCACUGAGCAAGGCCAGGGAUCAAACCCACAAUCUCAUGGUUCCUAGUCGGAUUCGUUUCCGCUGUGCCACAACGGGAACUCUCAUUUUUUUCUUUUACACUUUGGUCAGUUUUUCCCCCUUAUAAGGUAACAUACAUUCUGUAAUUUCUGAGUGGACACUUAUAGAUGUGCUUGCACCCUUGGGUUCAGGUUAUGUUACUCUGUUGCAGAACUGCACUUGCACACACAUGCUGAUGUUGCAUGUUGCCUUCCCUUUGUUCUGGCAGGGCCCUUCCCCCUCCCCACUACACUGUUAGCAUAGGAUAGGACAGCAGUGCUCACCCCAGGAGUAGGUGUAUCAGUGAGCACAUACAGCCUGCCCAGCUCCCCAGCCUUCCUGCCCACGCCUGCGCCACCCAGGAUCUGCCAGCCAAGUGCAGGGUAGGCCUUACACUGGCCACUGGGCCUGCUCUUGAGUUUGGGCUGCUUAGUGGACCCCCACACCAUGGGCAGCGCACCCUUUUGCUUCUGGCCCCUUCACACCUGCUUGGUUCUGAGCUCUUUCAAACAACCAGCUGUUUCCCUGCAUCUCUUGUCUGCCUGCUCCCUGCCUGUGUCCCUGUCCUGGGCCUGCCCACUCUGUUAGAAACAGAGAGGGAAGGAGGCAGAGAUGGAAGCAAUGAGAUCUCAAGCAGGGUUACUGACCAACAGAGGGGGCCCCCCUAAGAGCACUGAGCAGAGAGCACUCAGAAUCCCUGCAGCUUAGGGAGCAGCUAUUUAUAUAGGAAUAGUUUCUAUUUUUAGCAUACCUCUCCAGGGAGUAAGAAACAGGGAAGGUACAAGUUAUGUUGUUACAAUUUAACAGUUUCUCCAGCUAUUUUUUGUCUUGCAACUUUGCCUUUCAUUGUGCUCAGUUACCACCUAACAUACUCCAGGGGCCCUGGGCAGGGAGGCCUGGGAGGUUGCAGGAGAGGGGCUUGGACCAUGGGAGAUUUCAGGAUGUAACUUGACCCUCAGGGCCCCUGCCUCCAGGUAUGCCAGCCCAGGGAUGGCCGAGGCAGCCCUCUUUGGCCCUCCUGGACCCAUCUGUCCCCCUCCAUGGCCCACCUAGCUCAUCCUGCUAGACCCAGAGUGAGGGCAGCCCAGCUCGCAAUCACUGGCCUAGGCUAUUCUGGGCCUCCUGCCUCCCUCCCACUGGCCCCUGGGGUCUGGUAGGACCCACUCUGCUGAGAGCUGUGUUCUGGCCAGGAAAUGAGAGUCCUACGCAAGCACUGUUGUUUCCAGAAGGCACAUGCUCCUGAGUUGAGGGGCCCUGGAGUAGAGGUGCCUUGGUUUGCUCCUCGUGUCACCCCGUACUUUGAGGGGCUCGCCAGGGUUGCUAUCUUCCCUGCCAGCCCAUCUGGUGACAGUGGCCUUUCUGGGACCUGUCCAUCUGCCAGGAUACAGAGGUUCGAGUCUUGGGACCACUGAUGACCCACAAGACACAGGCAGGCCCUGAGGCUGUCACAGGUAUGGCAGGCAGCCUAGACAGUGGCCUUCAGGCACACAAAGGAUUCUGGAGGCCAGGGCAAGGCCUGUCCAGCUGGCAUGGAUUCAUUCAGCCAGCCUCCACCAGACACUGCUGCAACUCAGUGGUUCUCAAAGCAUGCUCCUGGACUGCUAGAAAUGCAGAUUCUUGGGCCCCGCUCCAGACGUAUUGGGCCAGAACCCCUGGGUGUGGGCUAGGCCAUCUGUGUUUUAAGAGGACCCCCCUGUGCCUAGGUUUGCACCUCGGUUCUACUUGCUAAUGUAUAUCCUACUAAGGGCCCCUCAUAAACCCCUUGGGGCCAUGAGGCUCAUCUUCCUCUUAUUCUUUUUUUUUCUUUUUCUUUUUGUCUUUUUGCCUUUUCUUGAGUGGUUCCUGCGGCAUAUGGAGCGGCCCAAGAAAUAGCAAAAGACAAAAAAAAAAAAAAGAAAAGAAAAGAAAACUGUUGACCCACAUGGACUGGGUCCAUGAAACCAAAUCUGCAUGGACAACUUGUUGAUCCAUGUGGACCAGGUCCAAGAGACCAAUAACACAUGGACAACUGGUCGACUUCUGCAGACUGGGUGCUGGAGAAAAAGUGCACAUGGACAUCUGGUUGACCCAUGCCACGUGGGUCCAGGAGUCCAAGACCACGUGGAGGACUGGUUAACCCCAGUGGACUAUUUCUGGAAGACCAAGUCCACCUGGAUAACUGUUCAACCCACGCAGAUAACUUGUUGACACCAGCAGACCGGGUUUGAGAGACAAGUUCUGUUUAGACAGCUGGUCGAUCCCUGCUCUUCUGGUCCAGAAAACUAAGUGCAAAUGGACAACUUGUCAACCCAUGCAGACAGGGUCUGGGAGAUCAAGUGCAUGCGGAUAACUGGUGUACCCCUGCAGACUGGUAGCGUGAGACCAAGUACAUGUGGACAACUGGCCCACCCAAGCAGACCAGGACUGAAACCAUAACCACAAGGACAACUGGUCGACCUCCGUGGACUGGUUCCGAGAAACCUAUUCCACUCAGACAACUGUUUGACCUGUGCGGACUGGGUCUGGUAUACCAAGUCUGCGAGGACAGUUGGUCAACACCAGUAGACUGGGUCUGAGAGACCAAAACCAUGUGGACAAACUGGUCAACCUCCAUGAACUUGGUCCUGGGGAAAAAGUUCACAUGGACAGUUUUUGACUGUGCAGACUGGGUCUGGGAGACCAAGUCUGUGCAGCCAACUUGUCAGCCGCAGCAGAAUGGGUCCAGGAAGCCAAGUCAGUGCAGACAAUUGGUCAACCCGCACGGACCAGGUCUGGGAGAGCAAGUCCUCACAGACAACUGGUAGACCCCCACCACCUUGUCCAAUAGAAAAAGUCUGUGUGGAAAACUGUCAACCCAUGCACAAUGGGUCUGGGAGACCAAGUCUGACCAUACAACUGGUCCAAUCAUGAGGACCAAGUCCAGGAAACCAAGACCAUAUGCACAACUGGUCAAACUCUGCAGACAUGUUCCUAGGGAACAUGUCCACACAGAUAUAUGGUUGACCCACGUGGAGCCAGUGUGGGAGACCACAUCCAUAUGGACAACCGGUCAACUCCAGAGGACCAGGUCCAAGAGACCAAUUCCAUGUGAGCAACUUGUCAACCCCCAUGCACUGGGUCUGGGAGACCAAGUCCACAUGGACAACUGGUCGGCCUGCUUGGACCAGGUCUGUGAGGCCAAGUCCAACUGGACAACUGGUUGAACUGUGAGGCCUGGAUCUGAGAUACCAAGUCCAUGAGGACAACUGGUCAACACAAGCAGACUGAGUCCAAGAGACCAAAACCACGUGGACAAGGGGUCAACCCCAACAGAAGAGGUCUGGAAAACCAAGCAUGGUGGACAAUUGGUCAACUUGCACAGACCAGGUCCAGGAUACCAAAUUGGCAUGGACAACUGGUCAGCCCAAGCAGACUGGGUCUGGGAGAUCAAGUCCCUGUGGACAACUGGCCAACCUGCAUGCACUAGGUCCAGGAGACCAAGUCCUUGCAGACACUUGUUGAACCCGGUGGACCAGGUCCAGGUUAACAGAUCUGCGUGGACAACUGGUCCACCUGUGCACACCAGGUCUGGGAAACCAAGACCGCAUGGACAACUGGUCGACCCUGGCAGAAUGGUUCCAGGGAAAUCAAUGUGUGCAGAAAACUGGACAACCUUGGCAGAACUGGUCCAAGAAACCAAGUAUGCAUGAACAACUUGUUGACUCACCUGGACCAGGUCCAGGAUACCAUGAGGACAACUGGUCGACCUCCAUGGACAGGUUCAGGGAGACCCAUUCCGUGUCGACAAAUGGUUUACCCAUGCAGACCAGGUCUGGGAGACUGUAUCCGCAUGAACAACUGUUUGUCCCCAGUAGAGUAGGUCUGAAAGAUCAGUUCCACAUGGAGAACUGUCAACCCACAUGGACUGGGUCUAGGAGACCAAGAAUGCUCAGGCAAAUGGUUGACCCACACAGACCAGAUCUGGGAGAACAAGACCGUGCAGACAACUGUUCAACCCACUCAGAAUGGGCCUGGGAGACCAAAUUUCAGAGACAGCUCAUUGACCCCAGCAGACCAGGUCCAAAAUACCAAGUCUGCACAUACAACUGGUCUAUACAAGUGGAUCAUGUCCAGGAGACCAAGUCCACGUGGAUAAAUGUUCGACCCCCUUGGAUCAGGUCCCAGGAGAUGAAAUCCGUGUGGACAACAGAUCAAUCCCUGCAGAUAGGAUCCAGGAACAAAAAAAUGUGGAUACCAGGUCGACCCACACGGACCCGGUCGGGGAGACCAAAAACACACAGAGAUCUGGUCAAUCCCAGGAUACCAGGACCGGGAGACCAAGUCUGUGCAGACAACUGGUUGAACUUGGUGGAACAGGUCCAAUAGACUAAUUCUGUGUGGAAAACUGGUCAAUCUGUGUGAAACGGUUCUGGGAGACCAAGUCCCUGCAAACAUAUGGUCAACCCUGGUGGACCUGGCCAAGAGAGAAUUCCGCACCAUAAACUAGUCAACCUGCUUGGAAUGGGUCUAGGAGGCUAAGUUUGCAUGGUCAACAUGUUGACCAUGGAAGACCAGUUCUGGGAGACCAAGUCUGCAGAGACCACUCUUCGACCCUGGUGGAGCAGGUCCAAGAAACCAAUUCCACUCAGAGAAAUGAUCAACCCAGGCAGACCAUGUCCAGGAGACCAAGAAUGGGCUGAAAACUGGUUCACCCAUGCAGACUGGGUCUGGGAGAAC
rnacentral:lncRNA from 1 species